UACGUAGGGUGCGAGCGUUAAUCGGAAUUACUGGGCGUAAAGCGUGCGCAGGCGGUUUUGUAAGCCAGAUGUGAAAUCCCCGGGCUUGACCUGGGAAUGGCAUUUGGGACUGCAAGGCUCGAGUGCGGCAGAGGAGACUGGAAUUCCUGGUGUAGCAGUGAAAUGCGUAGAUAUCGGAAGGAAGACCAGUGGCGAAGGCGAGUCUCUGGACAGCAACUGACGCUGAGGCACGAAGGCCAGGGGAGCAAACGGG
rnacentral:rRNA from 1 species